rnacentral:rRNA from 1 species
UGGGGAAUUUUGGACAAUGGGCGAAAGCCUGAUCCAGCAAUGCCGCGUGUGUGAAGAAGGCCUUCGGGUUGUAAAGCACUUUUGUCCGGAAAGAAAUCCUUGGCUCUAAUACAGUCGGGGGAUGACGGUACCGGAAGAAUAAGCACCGGCUAACUACGUGCCAGCAGCCGCGGUAAUACGUAGGGUGCAAGCGUUAAUCGGAAUUACUGGGCGUAAAGCGUGCGCAGGCGGUUUGUUAAGACCGAUGUGAAAUCCCCGGGCUCAACCUGGGAACUGCAUUGGUGACUGGCAGGCUAGAGUAUGGCAGAGGGGGGUUAGAAUUCCACGUGUAGCAGUGAAAUGCGUAGAGAUGUGGAGGAAUACCGAUGGCGAAGGCAGCCCCCUGGGCCAAUACUGACGCUCAUGCACGAAAGCGUGGGGAGCAAACAGGAUUAGAUACCCUGGUAGUCCACGCCCUAAACGAUGUCAACUAGUUGUUGGGGAUUCAUUUCCUUAGUAACGUAGCUAACGCGUGAAGUUGACCGCCUGGGGAGUACGGUCGCAAGAUUAAACUCAAAUGAAUUGACGGGGUCAUAGCUGUUU